AGAAUUAAAGAUGGCCAGAGAUGUAGUUUUAAGUUAGAAACUGUUGACUUGAAUCACAAAUGAUUUGAUGUAAGUCAGGCAUGUGAUUGCCCAUUAUUAGUUGCAAGUAAUAAAUGUAGUACAAGCAAGCCAUAACACUUUCUAGGAAGUUAUCACUAAAAUAAAAGUUGAGGAUUAUCAUUGUAUAGUUAUAAUAAAACAAAGAAAAUCCCAAAUUUCAAAAUAGGAUCACGUUUUACACAAAGCUGAGCACAUAUAGAAUAGCAUUAGUUCUAAGGGUGGGCUUAAAUGAGCUUAUUGCAAGAUGAUAAAAAGUUUGUAAUGUGA
rnacentral:lncRNA from 1 species